rnacentral:lncRNA from 1 species
GGCAGCUAGGCCGAAACGCCUGUAUUUAAAGGGAUAGUAACUCGGACUCGUUCUGCAAUAUCCCCACAAGGGCCUGACUGAGCGAGCGAGCAUGGACGGCCGCGGGGCUUUCUGGACAGUGGCCAUUCCCAGAGCCAGGCAGGAAGGCCUCGGGAGGCUGGGGCUCCCGUUCCCGGUGAAGCGGACGCCGCCAGCGCCCCAGAACCCAGGAGGAAGCACACAGGCCCCACAGAGAGUGGUUGGCAAGAGUCACUCGGGGAUUAGGAUGCCGGCCAAAUCGCGGAAUUUGAGGCUGGAAUCCAAGCUCAACAGGACUGCUGUGUGUGAAGCACUCAAGAGGGCCCCUACAACCAACCUGCCAGGAGUCGGCUCCUGAAAACAGGGUCGGAAAAGGGGUCUGGCACUCUUCCUCAUGCUUACGAGAUGGCUGCUGGAAUUCCAGGAAUCACAUGCAAAUUCUAGUCAGGAGCAAAGAGGAAGAGACACAGUGAAAAGGGGUAUACAGCGGCAGAAGGAAGCUCCUCAAAUGAACUCUGCUAGAACUCUAGCCAGUAGCUUCUCCUUCUAUCACAGUGGCCAGAACUGUGACAAGUGACCAUCCUUAGGGGAAAAAAGAUGCUGAGAAAUGUGAAUUUUGUUGCCACCUUACAUUUUCAAAGGAGUUCCAUUCGUAAGUACAGAACGCUCAGAGAAGAGGCAGCAGAUCUAGGAUAUGGAGCAGCAGCUCUUAAGGGCACAGUGGGAAGGUUUCAAGACUGAGGAGGAUCUUGGAUUUGGGUAGGGGAAGGCAGUUCACAGUAUUGUGGAGGAAAUGCUGUGAAAGAGAAAGUGGAAGGCAUGGAAGCUUAAACUUUUAAUAUGACUGGUGAAUACAAGGAUGAAGGGCAAAGGGAAUUCAGACUCAUGGUGGUCAGAUUAAGACCUUCAGCGGCUCUGUCUCCCAGCCCCACAUACCCACUUCCAUGUUCUGCUCUUUACUGAAGCUGAAAGUCUGCAACCUUCAUUCUCUGACUCCCUUACAUUUUCUUAGGCUUCUUGCUAGCUUCUGCCAAAAAGAGGCCCUGGCAGGAGAUUAGAUGGCAGGAGGCAGAGGUAAGGAUUCCAUGUUAACAGGUGCUGGAAGUUGCUGGUGUGGCAAUGAGAACUGGGCCCCGGUCAAGGCAGCACUACUUUGGUAGAUCCAGAAUCAACCAUGAUAACCGUGACAGUGUCUUCAACAGUGCAGCAGUAGACACAGGCCCCUGGUGCUGGAAUCCAAUACAGGGACAGGAGCAGCACGGAGUCACGGAACACCGUCUUGCCUUCAUGUCACUUUACCAUUUCUUCUUUCUCCCUCUUACUCUACCAGCUACCUGUGGAGAUGUUGAACCUUUUAUCUGUCGCUGUCUGCUUAGGAACAGAAGAAAAGGCAGCUGAUUGCUUGACUCAGCUUUCAGCUUGAUUUUUUUCCUUUGGCAGAGUGAAUUGGGGUCCCAGGUGUUCAUUUUCCUUUUGUAGUACCUUUCCUCAGCAUGCAAUUAAUACAAAAAGAACAAUAAACCUUAACAAAGUUUGGCUUGUAUUA